CACAUUAAACCCAACAGCGGCCCCUCUCUGGGGACACCGAGCUCCGGCACGCGGCCAGCAUCCGCACGGAAUCCCCGCGAGUGGCACCGGGAAGUUUCAUGCCGCCCCAGAGCAGUGUGGGCCAGGGAAGGUUCAUCGUUUUGGGGAUGAUUUGCUUUACUGAGCAGUGGAACAGCUGAGCGAGUGGAGGGAAACGGAACAAGUUCACCGGGAGUGCGGCAAAGCCUCGCCGUGCCUGUCCCAGCACCAGGCUGCCAGGACGGGCAGCCAGAGCACAUCUCAGUGCUGCCAGGCUGUGCCCACAGGUGAUGCCCGUGGGAUGUGUCUCUGGCAGAACUGGCUCUGCUUGGGCACAGAAACUCUCAGGGACAGACAGAGAACCCCUUUCCUGCAGACCCCGCUGCAGUGCAGCUCUGCCAGCAAUGCCAGAGCACACUGUGAGCUCCCUCCUUCCAGCACCAGGGUCACCAGCCCCAGCGCCUGAACAAAACCAAACUCUUGAUCACGGACUCGGAGGAAUUUUGGAGCCAAAGGGGCCACGACGGCAGCAGCAUGAAACAGUUUUUAAAACCAAACACCCAACGAGCACAGUGCUUCUGACAGAAUAAACAUUUCGAACCAAGCCCAGAGAA